AUGAUGUCUCCCUCCUGUCUCUCCCCUCUGUCAUACCUACUGUAUGUCUCCUUCCUGUCUCCUCUCUGUCCUGCCUGUCUCUGUCUCCUCUCUGUCUCCCCUCUGUCUCACCUACUGUAUGUCUCCUUCCUGUCUCCUCUCUGUCCUGCCUGUCUCUGUCUCCUCUCAGUCUCACGUUGUCUCCUCCCUGUCUCCUCUCUGUCUCCUGCCUGUCUCUGUCUCCUCUCAGUCUCCCCUCUGUCUCACCUACUGUAUGUCUCCUUCCUGUCUCCUCUCUGUCCUGCCUGUCUCUGUCUCCUCUCUGUCUCCCCUCUGUCUCACCUACUGUAUGUCUCCUUCCUGUCUCCUCUCUGUCUCCUGCCUGUCUCUGUCUCCUCUCUGUCUCCUCUCUGUCUCACGUUGUCUCCUCCCUGUCUCCUCUCUGUCUCCUCUCUGUCUGCCCUGUCUCCUCUCUGUCUCCUUUCUGUCUCCUUUCUGUCUCUGUCUCCUCUCUGUCUCCUCUCUGUCUCACGUUGUCUCCUCCCUGUCUCCUCUCUGUCUCCUCUCUGUCUGCCCUGUCUCCUCUCUGUCUCCUUUCUGUCUCCUUUCUGUCUCCUCUCUGUCUCCUCUCUGUCUCCUUUCUGUCUCCUCUCUGUCUCCUUCCUGUCUCCUCUCUGUCUCCUGCCUGUCUCUGUCUCCUCUCUGUCUCCUCUCUGUCUCACGUUGUCUCCUCUCUGUCUCCUCUCUGUCUCCUCUCUGUCUCCUUUCUGUCUCCUUUCUGUCUCCUCUGUCUCACGUUGUCUCCUCUCUGUCUCCUCUCUGUCUCCUCCCUGUCUCCCCUCUGUCUCACCUACUGUAUGUCUCCUUCCUGUCUCCUCUCUGUCUCCUCUCUGUCUGCCCUGUCUCCUCUCUGUCGCCUCCCUGUCUCCCCUCUGUCUCACCUACUGUAUGUCUCCUUCCUGUCUCCUCUCUGUCUCCUCUCUGUCUCCUCUCUGUCUCACGUUGUCUCCUCCCUGUCUCCUCUCUGUCUCCUCUCUGUCUGCCCUGUCUCCUCUCUGUCUCCUCUCUGUCUCCUCUCUGUCUCCUCUCUGUCUGCCCUGUCUCCUCUCUGUCUCCUCUCUGUCCUGCCUGUCUCUGUCUCCUCUCUGUCCCCUCUCUGUCUCCUCUCCGUCUCACGUUGUCUCCUCCCUGUCUCCUCUCUGUCUCCUCUCUGACUCCUCUCUGUCUGCCCUGUCUCCUCCCUGUCUCCUCUCUGUCUCCUCUCUGUCUCCUCUCUGUCUCCUCUCUGUCCUGCCUCUCUGUCUCCUCUCUGUCUGCUCUGUCUCCUCUCUGUCUCCUCUCUGUCUCCUCUCUGUCUCCUCCCUGUCUCCUCUCUGUCUCCUCUCUGUCUGCCCUGUCUCCUCUCUGUCUCCUCUCUGUCUCCUCUCUGUCUGCUCUGUCUCCUCUCUGUCUCCUCUCUGUCUCCUCUCUGUCUGCUCUGUCUCCGCUCUGUCUCCUCCCUGUCUCCUCCCUGUCUCCUCUCUGUCUCCUCUCUGUCUCCUCUCUGUCUGCUCUGUCUCCUCUCUGUCUCCUCUCUGUCUCCUCCCUGUCUCCCCUCUGUCUCACCUACUGUAUGUCUCCUUCCUGUCUCCUCUCUGUCUGCCCUGUCUCCUCUCUGUCUCCUCUCUGUCUGCCCUGUCUCCUCUCUGUCUCCUCUCUGUCUGCCCUGUCUCCUCUCUGUCUCCUCUCUGUCCUGCCUGUCUCUGUCUCCUCUCUGUCCCCUCUCUGUCUCCUCUCCGUCUCACGUUGUCUCCUCCCUGUCUCCUCUCUGUCUCCUCUCUGACUCCUCUCUGUCUGCCCUGUCUCCUCCCUGUCUCCUCUCUGUCUCCUCUCUGUCUCCUCUCUGUCUGCUCUGUCUCCUCUCUGUCUCCUCUCUGUCUGCUCUGUCUCCUCUCUGUCUCCUCUCUGUCUCCUCUCUGUCUCCUCUCUGUCUCCUCUCUGUCUGCUCUGUCUCCUCUCUGUCUCCUCUCUGCCUCCUCUCUGUCUGCCCUGUCUCCUCUCUGUCUCCUCUCUGCCUCCCCACUCUCUCGGUGA
rnacentral:lncRNA from 8 species